rnacentral:rRNA from 1 species
UACAGAGGGGGCAAGCGUUGUUCGGAAUUACUGGGCGUAAAGGGCGCGUAGGCGGCCUUCUAAGUCGAACGUGAAAUCCCCGAGCUCAACUCGGGAACUGCGUCCGAUACUGGCGGGCUUGAAUCCGGGAGAGGGAUGCGGAAUUCCAGGUGUAGCGGUGAAAUGCGUAGAUAUCGGAAGGAACACCAGUGGCGAAAAGCGGCUUCCUGGUCCAGCACCGACGUUCAGGCACGAAAGCGUGGGGAGCAAACAGG